UCCUGGGGAAACUUCCACCGAUUGACCCACAGUGGAAGUUAUGCCAAUGCAUACUCCAGGGCGGGGCUUGGUGACCUCUGGCUGAAUGUUUAGUUUUAACGUUCUUACUGCUUAAAGGAAACGCUUCCCUCGACUUCUGAGCUGAGCAGGGCAAGACAGGCCUGGGAACCUUCUAGAAGCUGCCCACCUGGAAUGAACCAGUCGACUCCCCUUCUUCCCUCUCUCCCCUUCCCUCCUGCUGUCAUCCAAGAGAUGGCCAAGAAGCACAAGUCAGCAUCAAGACACACAGCUGGAAAUGGGACUGCAGAGGUGACUGACCAUGUGGCCUAGGAGUCAGAAUCCUCAAAUGGGAAGGCCCUAACUGAGGGCAGAAACCCAGAUCUACCUCCUUUGGUGAGCUUGUUGUGGCUUCCAGAUGCAGUGAGGAAGGAACACGUGCCAGGUGCCUCUUUCUCACCCUGGAGCCAGGCACAAGAGUUAUGCUCAGGGAUGCCCAAGCCUAGGGACUAUCUCAGACACAGGAGGUCACUCUCAUGAUGUGGUUUGAGAACCUGGGGUGCUAAAGAUUAUGGUUUUUUUUUCAUAUUCUGCUGGUUUGAGAGAAAAUUACCUUUUAAAAAUGACCAGUAGGUGGUCAGAUUUUCUUUCUAAAUUAAAAGUUGACAUAAAAAUACUUUUUUUUUGACUCAGCACUUCAGUCAUUCUAGUUUGACCAAUUGUCUUUCAUAGAUAAAGAACAUGCAAGAAACAAAUGUGCAAAACCAAGCACAUUGUAACAUUAUAAUAGUGAAGACAUAUGAAUUAUGUAAGCGUCUAAUUACAAGGGAAUGGCUGAAUAAAUUAUGGCAUGUGACAGAAUACUUUGCAGCAGUUAAAAGGAAAAUAUAGAGACUAAUAAACUGAGUUGUUGAGAA
rnacentral:lncRNA from 1 species